rfam:Vibrio aerogenes CECT 7868 genome assembly, contig: 0014
CCUUGGUCCUCCCGCAACGCUAACUUGUGAACUUGGUCAGGACCGGAAGGUAGCAGCCACAGCAGGCGACGCGUGUGCCGGGAUGCGGCUGGGGUCU